UCCUACGGGAGGCAGCAGUGGGGAAUCUUAGACAAUGGGGGCAACCCUGAUCUAGCCAUGCCGCGUGAGUGACGAAGGCCUUAGGGUCGUAAAGCUCUUUCGCUGGGGAUGAUAAUGACAGUACCCAGUAAAGAAACCCCGGCUAACUCCGUGCCAGCAGCCGCGGUAAU
rnacentral:rRNA from 1 species